rnacentral:tRNA from 1 species
GGGUCUCUAGCUCAGUGUAGAGCAGCUGACUGCAGAUCAUCAGGUCUCCUGUUCAAUCCCUGAGGGGCCCU